UACGUAGGGGGCAAGCGUUGUCCGGAAUCAUUGGGCGUAAAGAGCUCGUAGGCGGUGUGUCGCGUCGGCCGUGAAAACCUGUGGCUUAACCAUGGGCUUGCGGUCGAUACGGGCAUCACUGGAGUUCGGCAGGGGAGACUGGAAUUCCUGGUGUAGCGGUGAAAUGCGCAGAUAUCAGGAAGAACACCCGUGGCGAAGGCGGCUCUCUGGGACGGUACUGACGCUGAGACGCGAAAGCGUGGGGAGCGAACAGG
rnacentral:rRNA from 1 species